rnacentral:lncRNA from 1 species
UUUCCUAACACAAGUGUUGUUUAUACUUACUUCCAGACUCUUUUUUAUGACCCUGAGAAACGACACUGAGUACACAUAAUAAGACUAAAGAUGGAUAUUUGUCACCCAAAGCAUAAACUUCCCAGAAUCCAGGAAGCAGGAGAUAUGACAAAAAUGAGAGACAAAUGGCAUUUCUAGAUGAGUCAAUCAGUAGAUCUGAAGAAAAUCCUACAGGGAGACCUAGCCUUCUCUGCCUUGAGGACACGUAGAUCUUUCUCCAGAAAAAGAUGAUCUCACAUCUGCAAUUGCGACCCUCUUCUGAUGCCUCUUGGAAGUGCAGACAUUCAACAAUUACAAUGCGGAUUACGUAAACCUAAAUGAAACCUUUUGAAAAACUUCUAAAAUAUAUUUCCAGGAGACAAUUAAGGGAAAGACAUAAUAAUCUCUUCAGCCCUGCCUACAGCCAGAAAGAUUUCCUUGAGUUUCUUUAUAGCCCUUUCUUAUGAUGUUCAUGGCGCUUCUCUUCUCUACAUCUGAA